UUUCACAAGAUUCCCAGUGCCUUUAAAGCUCACAAGCUGUUGUGACCAUAAAGCUCUUUUUUUAGUCUCGUCACUCCAAAUUAGUGUGCCAGAAGCUGUGAGGCGUGUCAAGGUAUUGGGCAUAUUGGGUAACUGGGCUUUUUUUGUGACAGUGGCGUAGUAAAGGCUUCUUUCUGGCAACUCGACCAUGCAGCUCAUUUUUGUUCAAGUAUCGUCGUAUUGUGCUCCUUGAAACAACUACGUCUUUUUUUCCCAGAGCAGCAUGUAUUUCUCCUGAGGUUACCUGUGGGUUUUUCUUUGUAUAGCAAACAAUUCUUCUGGCAGUUGUGGC